CUAACCAUUGUUGGUCUCUCUUCUGAUUAAGAUCUGAAAUUAUAAUGGGAGGUCCUUUCUGUAGAGCAAUGCCUUUAAACCCCCACCUCCUUUUAUAAAAAGCAGCCUCAGACAUUCAUCAGGUCGGCUGUGGCUGCGUCUCAUGGUAACAGGAUCACUAUUAUGACUCAAGUUCUCAUUGCAUUUGUAGUCUCGUCUCUGUGGCUUCAAGGUCAGUGCCAGGAUGUAACGCAACACCCUGAAAUCAGUUGGAGUUAUUUUUCCCAAUCUGCAGAGAUGAACUGCAGCCACAACAAAGAUAUUUCUCAUAACCAGAUGUACUGGUACAGACAGCGUCCAGGGGAGACCAUGACCCUCGUUGUCUACACAGUUGUUGGUGGACAGCCAGACUACGGGGGGCGGGAGGGGGGUCCUCAAACCAAAUAUUCAGCCAUCAAAGAAAAAACUGAGAGCGGAGCUCUUACUGUGAAAGACUUGCAGCCUGAGGACAGCGCUGUGUACUUUUGUGCCGUCAGUAAACACAGUGAUGUGACAAGUUGGAGCAGCUGAACAAGAACUGGUUAACACAUUUGG